CCUACGGGAGGCUGCAGUAGGGAAUUUUGCUCAAUGGGGGAAACCCUGAAGCAGCAACGCCGCGUGGGGGAUGAAGGUUUUAGGAUUGUAAACUCCUUUUGUGAGAGAAGAUAAUGACGGUAUCUCACGAAUCCGCACCGGCUCACUCCGUUCCAGCAGCCGCGGGACUACGGAGGUUGCAAGCGUUACUCGGAAUCACUGGGCGUAAAGAGUGCGCAGGCGGGCUUGGAAGUCAGAUGUGAAAUCCUGUAGCUUAAAUACAGAACUGCAUUUGAAACUAUGAGUCUAGAGUGUGGGAGAGGUAGGUGGAAUUCUUGGUGUAGGGGUAAAAUCCGUAGAUAUAAAGAGGAAUACUCAUUGCGAAGGCGACCUACUGGAACAUGACUGACGCUCAUGCACGAAAGCGUGGGGAGCAAACAGGAUUAGAUACCCCAGUAGUC
rnacentral:rRNA from 1 species